AACGAACGCUGGCGGCAGGCUUAACACAUGCAAGUCGAACGCCCCGCAAGGGGAGUGGCAGACGGGUGAGUAACGCGUGGGAAUCUACCCAGUUCUACGGAACAACACAGGGAAACUUGUGCUAAUACCGUAUACGCCCCAUGGGGGAAAGAUUUAUCGGAAUUGGAUGAGCCCGCGUAAGAUUAGCUAGUUGGUGGGGUAACGGCCUACCAAGCCGACGAUCCAUAGCUGGUCUGAGAGGAUGAUCAGCCACACUGGGACUGAGACACGGCCCAGACUCCUACGGGAGGCAGCAGUGGGGAAUCUUAGACAAUGGGGGCAACCCUGAUCUAGCCAUGCCGCGUGAGUGAUGAAGGCCCUAGGGUUGUAAAGCUCUUUCAGCUGGGAAGAUAAUGACGGUACCAGCAGAAGAAGCCCCGGCUAACUCCGUGCCAGCCGCCGCCGUAACAC
rnacentral:rRNA from 1 species